AGUGAUAAUAAAGUUGUGUGUUUGUACAGUGUUAAUAAAGUUGUGUUUGUACAGUGUUAAUAAAGUUGUGUUUGUACAGUGUUAAUAAAGUUGUGUGUUUGUACAGUGUUAAUAAAGUUGUGUUUGUACAGUGUUAAUAAAGUUGUGUUUGUACAGUGUUAAUAAAGUUGUGUGUUUGUACAGUGUUAAUAAAGUUGUGUUUGUACAGUGUUAAUAAAGUUGUGUUUGUACAGUGUUAAUAAAGUUGUGUGUUUGUACAGUGAUAAUAAAGUUGUGUGUUUGUACAGUGUUAAUAAAGUUUUGUGUUUGUACAGUGAUAAUAAAGUUGUGUGUUUGUACAGUGUUAAUAAAGUUGUGUUUGUACAGUGAUAAUAAAGUUGUGUUUGUACAGUGAUAAUAAAGUUUUGUGUUUGUACAGUGUUAAUAAAGUUGUGUUUGUACAGUGAUAAUAAAGUUGUGUGUUUGUACAGUGUUAAUAAAGUUGUGUGUCUGUACAGUGUUAAUAAAGUUGUGUUUGUACAGUGAUAAUAAAGUUUUGUGUUUGUACAGUGAUAAUAAAGUUGUGUUUGUACAGUGUUAAUAAAGUUGUGUUUGUACAGUGAUAAUAAAGUUGUGUGUUUGUACAGUGAUAAUAAAGUUGUGUUUGUACAGUGUUAAUAAAGUUGUGUUUGUACAGUGAUAAUAAAGUUUUGUGUUUGUACAGUGAUAAUAAAGUUGUGUGUUUGUACAGUGAUAAUAAAG